rnacentral:sRNA from 1 species
ACAGCGGAACUCCGGGUGCCGGUUGAGGUUGCUGGUGGACCUGCUCUGGUGGUCUUGGAUGAGGCCCCAAUGAGCGCGGCGCCCCUGGUGGGCUACAGCAGCAGCGGCUCCGAGGAUGAGUCCGAGGACGGGAUGCGGCCCAGGCCGGGGGAUGGGAGCCACCGUCGUGGCCAGAGCCCCCUUCCCAGGCAGAGAUUUCCAGUACCUGACAGUGUGCUGAACAUGUUCCCGGGCACCGAGGAGGGGCCUGAAGAUGACAGCACAAAACACGGGGGACGGGUGCGCACCUUCCCGCACGAGCGCGGCAACUGGGCCACCCACGUUUAUGUACCAUAUGAAGCCAAGGAGGAGUUCCUGGAUCUGCUUGAUGUGUUGCUGCCGCAUGCCCAGACAUAUGUCCCCCGGCUGGUAAGGAUGGAGGCGUUCCACCUCAGCCUGUCCCAGAGUGUGGUUCUGCGCCACCACUGGAUCCUCCCCUUCGUGCAGGCUCUGAAAGCCCGUAUGACCUCCUUCCAGAGGUGAGUGCUUCCCUCUGCCUCUCUGCUCCCUCCCCUCCACGGCUUCUCCUCCUCU